rnacentral:rRNA from 1 species
GUGGGGAAUAUUGGACAAUGGGCGCAAGCCUGAUCCAGCAAUGCCGCGUGCAGGAAGAAGGCCUUCGGGUUGUAAACUGCUUUUGUACGGAACGAAACGGUCCGGGUUAAUACCCUGGGCUAAUGACGGUACCGUAAGAAUAAGCACCGGCUAACUACGUGCCAGCAGCCGCGGUAAUACGUAGGGUGCAAGCGUUAAUCGGAAUUACUGGGCGUAAAGCGUGCGCAGGCGGUUUUGUAAGACAGGCGUGAAAUCCCCGGGCUCAACCUGGGAAUUGCGCUUGUGACUGCAAGGCUGGAGUGCGGCAGAGGGGGAUGGAAUUCCGCGUGUAGCAGUGAAAUGCGUAGAUAUGCGGAGGAACACCGAUGGCGAAGGCAAUCCCCUGGGCCUGUACUGACGCUCAUGCACGAAAGCGUGGGGAGCAAACAGGAUUAGAAACCCCUGUAC